CGCACAUUGCGCCCCUCGGUAUUCCGUGGGGCAUGCCUGUUCGAGCGUCAUCUACACCCUCAAGCUCUGCUUGGUGUUGGGCGUCUGUCCCGCCUCCGCGCGCGGACUCGCCCCGAAUCGAUUGGCAGCAGGCGGCUCGCCCCUCUCGCGCAGCACAUUGCGCUUCUUGAGGCGACGGCCCCGGCGUCCACGAAGCUCCAUUACCGUCUUUGACCUCGGAUCAGGUAGGAAUACCCGCUGAACUUAA
rnacentral:misc_RNA from 1 species